AAGCUGGGUCUCUUGGAUCGGGUUCGCCUUUCUAAUCCUCGUGGUAGCAAUACUAAAGGAAAGCUAUUUACCCCUCUGAAUGUAGAUGCCAUAGAAGAAAGUCCUUCUAAAGAGCCAAAGCCUGCUGGCUUAAACAAUAAAGAGUGCUUCCGCACCGCCUUCCGCAUGAAAGCCUACGCUUUCUGGCAGAGCUCCCAAGAUGCUGGGACAGGCUAUCCCAUGGCAGAAGACAGGGGCUACGGAAAUGACUUCCUCAUCGAGACAUGAUCCCCACUCUCAAGGCCACCCUCCGAGCCAUCAGGUGGAGUUUUCAAGGAGCAAUGGAGAGGCUAGGUGACAGGGAGGCUGGUGUAGGAGUGAUCUUGAUGGAAAACAAUGCCUAAUGAAGAAGAGCAGAGCCAUUUGGUAUGCUAGUGGAUGCUGGUGGAAUUGGGCCAACCCAGACUGCAAACAUUCCAGAGCUAGAGGGAAAAACCUGCAAUCCCAGACUGUUAAAUAUGUCAUUGGAGGAUGAGUCACGUGGACAGAAUGCAGAGGAUCAAAUGGAUGGAGUGGGCGUGGCUCUGCAGAACAGUGCAGGUAAGAGACCAGAUGCUGGGUGGAGCCUAUGAAAAAAAGUGGAGAGGACCUAGUGGGCAGAGCUGGUGAGGCAGAGUCAGGCU